rnacentral:misc_RNA from 1 species
GAAAUGCGAUAAGUAGUGUGAAUUGCAGAAUUCAGUGAAUCAUCGAAUCUUUGAACGCACAUUGCGCCCUUUGGUAUUCCUUAGGGCAUGCCUGUUCGAGCGUCAUUUGGAAACUCAAGCUCAGCUUGGUGUUGGGUGUCUGUCUCCGCCCCGCGGGGACUCGCCUCAAAAGCAUUGGCGGCCGGUACGUUGGCUUCGAGCGCAGCAGAAACGCGAACUCGGGGCUGGCGGAUCGGCGACCAGAAGUAUCUUCUUUACAGCUUGACCUCAGGUCAGGCGGGGCUACCCGCUGAGUUUAA